ACUGCUCAGUAACACGUGGACAACCUACCCUUGGGUCUGGCAUAAUCCUGGGAAACUGGGUAUAAUUCCAGAUAGGUCACAGAUGCUGGAAUGCACUGUGGCCGAAAGCUCCGGCGCCCAAGGAUGGGUCUGCGGCCUAUCAGGGUUGUAGUGGGUGUAACGGACCUACUAGCCUACGACGGGUACGGGUUGUGAGAGCAAGAGCCCGGAGAUGGAUUCUGAGACACGAAUCCAGGCCCUACGGGGUGCAGCAGGCGCGAAAACUUUACAAUGCGGGAAACCGUGAUAAGGGAAUCUCGAGUGCCAGCAUAUAAUGUUGGCUGUCCAGAUGCCUAAAAAGCAUCUGUUAGCAAGGGCCGGGCAAGACCGGUGCCAGCCGCCGCGGUAACACCGGCGGCCCGAGUGGUAACCGCUUUUAUUGGGUCUAAAGGGUCUGUAGCCGGCCAAGUAAGUCCCUUGGGAAAUCUGGCAGCUUAACUGUCAGGUUGCUAGGGGAUACUGCUAGGCUUGGGACCGGGAGAGGUGAGAGGUACCUUGGGGGUAGGGGUGAAAUCUUGUGAUCCUCGGGGGACCACCAGUGGCGAAGGCGUCUCACCAGAACGGGUCCGACGGUAAGGGACGAAAGCUAGGGGCACGAACCGGAUUAGAUACCCGGGUAGUCCUAGCCGUAAACGAUGCUCGCUAGGUGUCAGUCACGGUGCGACCGUGAUUGGUGCCGUAGGGAAGCCGUGAAGCGAGCCACCUGGGAAGUAUGGCCGCAAGGCUGAAACUUAAAGGAAUUGGCGGGGGAGCAC
rnacentral:rRNA from 1 species